GACGAACGCUGGCGGCGUGCUUAACACAUGCAAGUCGAACGGUGAAGCGCCUUCCUUUUUGGUGGGUGUGGAUGAGUGGCGAACGGGUGAGUAACACGUGAGUAACCUGCCCCCUUCUUCUGGAUAACCGCAUGAAAGUGUGGCUAAUACGGGAUAUUCUGGGUCUGUCGCAUGAUGGGUCUGGGAAAGAUAUUGUUUCGGUGGGGGAUGGGCUCGCGGCCUAUCAGCUUGUUGGUGGGGUGAUGGCCUACCAAGGCGGUGACGGGUAGCCGGCCUGAGAGGGUGGACGGUCACACUGGGACUGAGACACGGCCAAGACUCCGACGGGAGGCAGCAGGGGGGAAUAUUGCACAAUGGGCGCAAGCCUGAUGCAGCGACGCCGCGGGAGGGAUGGAGGCCUUCGGGUUGUGAACCUCUUUCGCCAGUGAAGCAGGCCUGCCUCGUUUGUGGGUGGGUUGACGGUAGCUGGAUAAGAAGCGCCGGCUAACUACGUG
rnacentral:rRNA from 1 species